rnacentral:rRNA from 1 species
CCACACUGGGACUGAGACACGGCCCAGACUCCUACGGGAGGCAGCAGUAGGGAAUCUUCGGCAAUGGACGAAAGUCUGACCGAGCAACGCCGCGUGAGUGAAGAAGGUUUUCGGAUCUUAAAGCUCUGUUGUAAGUCAAGAACGUGUGUGAGAGUGGAAAGUUCACACAGUGACGGUAGCUUACCAGAAAGGGACGGCUAACUACGUGCCAGCAGCCGCGGUAAUACGUAGGUCCCGAGCGUUGUCCGGAUUUAUUGGGCGUAAAGGGAGCGCAGGCGGUCAGGAAAGUCUGGAGUAAAAGGCUAUGGCUCAACCAUAGUGUGCUCUGGAAACUGUCUGACUUGAGUGCAGAAGGGGAGAGUGGAAUUCCAUGUGUAGCGGUGAAAUGCGUAGAUAUAUGGAGGAACACCAGUGGCGAAAGCGGCUCUCUGGUCUGUCACUGACGCUGAGGCUCGAAAGCGUGGGUAGCGAACAGGAUUAGAUACCCUGGUAGUCCACGCCGUAAAC